AGAGUUUGAUCAUGGCUCAGGACGAACGCUGGCGGCGUGCUUAACACAUGCAAGUCGAGCGGUAAGGCCCUUUCGGGGGUACACGAGCGGCGAACGGGUGAGUAACACGUGAGUAAUCUGCCCUUGGCUCUGGGAUAAGCACUCGAAAGGGUGUCUAAUACCGGAUAUGACGAACCUCCGCAUGGGGUGUUUGUGGAAAGUUUUUUCGGCCAGGGAUGUGCUCGCGGCCUAUCAGCUUGUUGGUGGGGUAAUGGCCUACCAAGGCUUUGACGGGUAGCCGGCCUGAGAGGGUGACCGGUCACACUGGGACUGAGACACGGCCCAGACUCCUACGGGAGGCAGCAGUGGGGAAUAUUGGACAAUGGGCGGAAGCCUGAUCCAGCAACGCCGCGUGAGGGAUGACGGCCUUCGGGUUGUAAACCUCUUUCAGUACCGACGAAGCGUGAGUGACGGUAGGUACAGAAGAAGCACCGGCCAACUACGUGCCAGCAGCGGCGGUAAUUC
rnacentral:rRNA from 1 species